GGGGGUGUAGCCUAAUAGUAGAGCAUGUGCUUAGCAUGCAUUAGGGCCUGGGUUCAAUCCCCAGCAGCAUCC
rnacentral:tRNA from 1 species